ACUUGGUGAUGUGGGCAUUUACGCAAAACGUCCCCAAAACGCUCCCACGUCUCAAAAAAUUGCUCACCAUCUAUCUGUGAGAAACUGGUGAUAGCCUUCCUAAGCU